rnacentral:rRNA from 1 species
CGGCGGACGGGUGAGUAACACGUGAUAACCUACCUAUAAGACUGGGAUAACUUCGGGAAACCGGAGCUAAUACCGGAUAAUAUAUUGAACCGCAUGGUUCAAUAGUGAAAGACGGUUUUGCUGUCACUUAUAGAUGGAUCCGCGCCGCAUUAGCUAGUUGGUAAGGUAACGGCUUACCAAGGCAACGAUGCGUAGCCGACCUGAGAGGGUGAUUGGCCACACUGGAACUGAGACACGGUCCAG